UGACUUAUGCUAUAUGCUGCUUGCAAAUGGACUAUGGACCGUACUUAUAUGGGCGUUAUUUGUUAAUUUGCUAAAUGCAGUCUACCCGUGUUAAGAGAUACUUGGCUUUAUCAUUUAAACAAAAGGUAAAUAGAUGUAAAGUUGUUGUUUUUAUAAAUCUCUGACAGUUAUCGCGGUCGAUUUCUACUGUGAAUCUUGUCGGAAGUUUUACUGCAGACAAUGUAUUGACAUGCACAACCAGCUCUUUUCAAACCAUGCCUCAUUUGGAAGGGGAGAUAUGAACAGAUGGCCAGUGUCCAAGAAGGUAGAAGUUUUUCUUCUGAAAUGUGACGUCCAUAAAGAAGAAACCCUAAACAUGUUCUGUGAUGAACACAGUAAGCUGUGCUGCGCAAAUUGUGCAUUUCUUAAUCACAGAAGUUUUAGAUUACAAUCAUAAUACUUUCAAAGAAAAAGUAUAUAAGUGUUAAAAAAUAAAUGUGUUUUCCCCAUCCUUUCAGACAUGCCUAAAGAUAACCAUUAUUUCCGACAAAGUAAGCAGUCAGUCUACAGACCUUCAAAAAAUGUCCGUUUCUAUCCAAACUAUUCUGGAACAAAUGGAGGAACUUCAAGAAAACCAUAAGGCAAACAUUACGUCUGUGCAAAGUUGAUAUGAUGAGCAGUUACUUAUAAUAAAGCAAAGUCGCCGAGAAAUCAAUGCAGCCUUAGACAAGAUUGAAAAGGAGACACUAAAGAAAAUGACUGAUGUUCUGACAGAACUACAAGCCGCUACCAAAAGUGAUCUUGACAAAUGCAUCAAGCUUCUGGAUGAUUUCAAACAACUUCGAGAUACCGUUAAGGCCGUUCAGGACAUAAGUGAUAAAAGCAAGCUGGAGCUUUCGUUUAUAGCCGCCAGGAAAUGCGAGGACAAAAUACAACAGUCUGACACCUUCCUGGAGAAAAGAUCCCUUAAAGUUAAAGUUUCAAUAACAUUCCAUCCUAACAGUGACAUUUUGCAGUACUUGUUAAAACUGUCAGAACUUGGGAGGAUAGAACACAGUUCUCAGAUAUUGAAGGUACAAGAUGAUUCAAACGAGGUAUUAACUGUGCAGGGCAAGUCCGUCCAAAAUGUGAGAAUAUCAAGUGAUUCCGACUCAUGCAUUAUCUAAGCCAUGUGUGUUCUCCGGAAUGGACAAGUCAUGUGUGCGGACAACAGAACUAAGAAAAUCAAGCUUCUUGACCAGCAGUACCAGGUGUUAUGUGACUGGAGUGUGGAUGCCUCUCCGUGGGAUAUGUGCCAGGUCCCACCCAGUGAGGUGGCUAUGAUUAUGAAUGGUAGUGGCAAAGGUGUGAUCCGAUUUAUCAAUUUCAGUAAUAAGCAGCUGGUGAAAGGAAUGGUGAUUAAGUUACGACAAACAUGUAGUGGGAUUACCUGCCACGAUGAAGACCUGUAUAUUACUGUUGGGACUGCACUGUACAAGUACACACUUAGUGGGAAACUUGUCAGCACGGUGUAUGAGGAUACAUCAGGCGGUUCUAAAUUACAAAGGUGCGUUGUGAGUCCUACAGGGGACAAGUUGUACAUCAUAAACAACUCCCCGAACUGCAAAUGAUACGUGAUGUACAUGUAACACCUGCAGGCCAGGUGCUGGUUUGUGGAGGCGAAUCCGGCACUAUCUUACAAGUGGACAGUAAUGGCAAGAGAAAGCUGGCCACUAUUGCUACACGGGAGGAUGGAUUGGUGGAACCACUGUCAGUCUGCUACAACAGUAUAACAGCCCCCAUCAUUGUUGGGCUGUGUUGGUUAGACAGCAUCAUAGUUUUCAACGUGAAAUAGCUUACUUGUAAAUGUUACGAAUUUUUUAAAAAAACUUAAAUGAUAAGGACCUUUUCACGUUAAGGUAAAAUGACAAAAUUGAACACAAAAUGUUUCAAAUUCGCAUAUGUUUGCUGUCGUUAUGAUAAAUUGCGAGGAAACAGUAAUACUUAACAUUUACGAUGCUCUAAAAUAGUCGUCAUAUGCAUCUUUUGACGAUUUGAAAUCUUGACAAUUAUAAAGCGUUGCAAACGCAAAACGAUCGAAUAUUUUGGAUAUUUCUGUUGACAUCGUUAUAUUUUUUGUGACACUACGACAAUUGCCUAUAUACAGUGUAAAAUACAUCAGUCAUUGUAUGAGCCAUCGUCGGAUACCCACGGCUGCUGAUUACGCUCCGCUCAUACAUCAUUUAGGAAUGGAGAUUAACGUAAUGAAUAGACCGGCGGUGUCCGACUAUGUGUAUGAGCACGGAUGGCCGAGUGGCUUAAGCGCUAAACCUUUACUCCAGGGGUCAGUGGUUCGAGCCCAACUGAGGAUUACUUUUUUGUAAGUCUAGUCUUGUUUUAUACUGUAGCUAUUGAGUUCCAAUGUUUAUAUUUAUCAAUUUAAAGUAUUUAAUGACAAACUUAAAUACUUGCCAAAAUCUGUGAAAAGGCCCCUUACAGGAGCCUUUUCACAGAUUUUGGCAUGUAUUGAAAUAUGCCAUUAAAUGCUUUAUAUUGAUAAAUGUUAACAUUGGAUCUAAAAAGCUCAAGUUAACAAUAUAUAUAUAUAUAUACAAUUAAAAAAGUAACCCUCAACUGGGCUCGAACCACUCACCCCUGUAGUCCUGGAGUAAAAGUCUACCGCUUAGACCACUCGGCCAUCCGUUUUCAUUCAAUGAAGGAUGUAUUUGAUACUUUAUAUAAGCAAUCCUCGAUGUAUCACAAAAUAUAACGACAACAACAGAACUCUCCAAAUUAUUCAAUCGUUUUGCGUUGCAACGCUUUAUAAUUUUCAGGUUUUUAUAUCGUCAAAAGACGCAUAUAAAAUAUAUUUUAGAGCAUGGUAAAUGUUCAGUAUUACUUUUCCUCACAAAUAUCCUAACUAAAACGAAAAUUUGCGAAUCUGAAACAAUUUUUUUUUAUUUUGUCAAUUUACCAAAACGUGAAAAUGCCUCUUUAAAUGACAUUGUCAGUCUGCUUUAGCACGUAAACACAAGUUAAAUUGGAUCGCCAAUUUUGUGUUAGAAUAGGUACAAAAUUUUAAUUACAUUGACAAUGUGCUCUUAGCGCAUGUACAUAAUUUAAAUAGCAUUUCCAAUUUAUUGCUGUGCAUCGGAACUUGUGCAUGUUUUGGAACUAUACAUACAUGAAAGUGUAGAUAGCGGAUACAUGUGUUUUGAUGGUCACAUAAAUUUUAUGGGUUUUUUUUCACAGAAUGUAUGUGUAGUGUUUUCUUGAAAAUUAGCACACACAUAUAAUGCAUACUAUGAUGUUACAACUACAUAUAUAAUGUAACAUGUUUUUCUUUUUUACCCACUUAGUAAACAUGAGUCGCUUUUGCAAAUACAAAAACAAUGUUAUUUCAGAAUUAUAAUGUUUGUUCUAAACUAUGGUAUGUAUACUCAUGAAACUUUCAACAUGUGUGUGUAUUUCAAAGUUAAUGUUCAGGCCCAUCAGCCUCUUCACAAGUACGUCUACGGGAUGGACCUGGCUUGCAAUAACUGUAAUCUGCAUGCUCUUUGUAACUGUAAAAAAAGUCCGCAAAAUUGUGUCAAGCAUAUUAAAUGAAAAUUUUUACAAUCA